rfam:Schistosoma mansoni strain Puerto Rico chromosome 5, complete genome
UUGCCAUGAAAGACUUGAGUAGUGAGACGCUUACAGCGUGGUUUUUUCCCUUCGGCGCCUCAUACUGAGUCUUUCCCGGCUCA